GACGAACGCUGGCGGCGUGCUUAACACAUGCAAGUCGAACGAUGAAGAAAAGAAUCGAAGCUUCGGCAGAAAUUCAUUUCGGAUUAGUGGCAGACGGGUGAGUAACGCGUGAGCAACCUACCUCUUACAAAGGGAUAGCCUCGGGAAACCGGGAUUAAUACCAUAUAACAUUGCGACGAAGCAUUUCGAUGCAAUCAAAGCUACGGCGGUAAGGGAUGGGCUCGCGUCCCAUUAACCGGAUGGUGAGGUAACGGCUCACCAUAGUGACGAUGGGUAACCGGCCUGAGAGGGUGAACGGUCACACUGGAACUGAGACACGGUCCAGACUCCUACGGGAAGCAGCAGUGGGGAAUAUUGCACAAUGGAGGGAACUCUGAUGCAGCGACGCCGCGUGAGUGAUGAAGGAAUUCGUUUCGUAAAACUCUGUUCUAUGGGAAGAAAAGGACUGUACCAUAGGAGAAAGCGCCGGCUAAAUACGUG
rnacentral:rRNA from 1 species